rnacentral:rRNA from 1 species
CUAAGGCUCCAGAGGAAGCCACGGCUAACUCUGUGCCAGCAGCCGCGGUAAUACAGAGGCGGCAAGCGUUGUUCGGAAUUAUUGGGCGUAAAGAGCACGUAGGCGGCCUUGCGAGUCAGUUGUGAAAGCCUUCCGCUUAACGGAAGAAUGCCAGCUGAUACUACAGGGCUUGAGUACGGGAGGGGAGAGUGGAACUUCUGGUGGAGCGGUGAAAUGCGUAGAUAUCAGAAGGAACGCCAGCGGCGAAAGCGACUCUCUGGCCCGAAACUGACGCUGAGUGUGCGAAAGCUAGGGGAGCAAACGGGAUUAGAUACCCCGGUAGUCCUAGCCGUAAA